rnacentral:lncRNA from 1 species
AAUUUGAUUCGUUUUCUAUGUUGAAUACAGCCAGCUUUGACCAGGUUUUCUCUGCUAUAAAACCCAAUGCAUUUAGAUGCAGUUUUCACACAUAAAUAAUUGUUAAUAUAAAACUUGAUCCUGCCGGUUGACCAGAACGCAAGAGCCUCGCCUCGUCAAAGGUAUUCUUCCUCUGGAUCGGCUUUGCACCACGCUAGCUUCCGUCCUUCACACCUCGUCUUUCUGUUUACUUCGCAUUCUUUAA